GUGUACUUUGCUGCCUGCACUCCCUGUUUCCAGGAGCCCUUCCUUCAAUACAUGUGAUAUGUAACUAAAGAACUUAAUCAAUAGUAGGAUCAGGACUGCAGUGGAAACAGAAUCGAAUAGGUAUAAUAGAAAACUUUCCAAGGAUGCUUAUAGCAGUAAGAAUUUGAUACAAAUGCGAUAAUUGUAUCCAAUUUUGAGAGAUUGUAUCAGCUUAUUGUCAGACUAUCACAAAC